UACAGAGGUCUCAAGCGUUGUUCGGAUUCAUUGGGCGUAAAGGGUGCGUAGGCGGCGCGGUAAGUCGGAUGUGAAAUCUUGGAGCUUAACUCCGAAACUGCAUUCGAUACUGCCGUGCUUGAGGACUGGAGAGGAGACUGGAAUUUACGGUGUAGCGGUGAAAUGCGUAGAUAUCAGGAGGAACACCGGUGGCGAAGGCGGGUCUCUGGGCCGAUACUGACGCUGAGGAGCGAAAGCGUGGGGGAGCGAACAGG
rnacentral:rRNA from 1 species